UACGGGGGGGGUAAGCGUUGUUCGGAAUUACUGGGCGUAAAGGCUCGUAGGCGGCCAACUAAGUCAUACGUGAAAUCCCUCAGCUUAACUGGGGAACUGCGUGUGAUACUGGAUGGCUUGAGUUCGGGAGAGGGAUGCGGAAUUCCAGGUGUAGCGGUGAAAUGCGUAGAUAUCUGGAGGAACACCGGUGGCGAAGGCGGCAUCCUGGACCGGUAUUGACGCUGAGGCGCGAAAGCCAGGGGAGCAAACGGG
rnacentral:rRNA from 1 species